rnacentral:rRNA from 1 species
UCCUACGGGAGGCAGCAGUGGGGAAUAUUGGACAAUGGGCGAAAGCCUGAUCCAGCCAUGCCGCGUGUGUGAAGAAGGUCUUCGGAUUGUAAAGCACUUUAAGUUGGGAGGAAGGGCAGUAAGCUAAUACCUUGCUGUUUUGACGUUACCGACAGAAUAAGCACCGGCUAACUCUGUGCCAGCAGCCGCGGUAAUA